ensembl:lncRNA
CUUAUGGCGCCCUAUGGAUCCUUAUGGCUCCCAAUGGGUUGCUAUGGAUCCUUAUGGCACCCAAAGGUGGAAGGAGGUGCCUUAUGGGGCCCUAUGGCACCCUAUGGGGCCCUAUGGCACCCUAUGGAUAUGUAUGGAUCCUUAUGGCACCCAAAGGUGCAAGGAGGCGGCUUAUGGGGCCCUAUGGUGCCCUAUGGGGCCCUAUGGAUCCUUAUGGCACCCAAAGGUGGAAUGAGGCGGCUUAUGGGGCCCUAUGGCACCCUAUGGAUCCUUAUGGCACCCAAAGGUGGAAGGAGGUGCCUUAUGGGGCCCUAUGGGGCCCUAUGGGGCCCUAUGGAUCCUUAUGGCACCCAAAGGUGGAAUGAGGUGCCUUAUGGGGCCCUAUGGGAUCCUAUGGGGCCCUAUGGCACCCAAAGGUGGAAGGAGGUGCCUUAUGGGGCCCUAUGGCACCCUAUGGAUCCUUAUGGCACCCAAAGGUGCAAGGAGGCGGCUUAUGGGGCCCUAUGGUGGCUUAUGGGGCCCUAUGGUGCCCUAUGGAUCCUUAUGGCACCCAAAGGUGCAAGGAGGCGCCUUAUGGGGCCCUAUGGGAUCCUAUGGAUCCUUAUGGCACCCAAAGGUGCAAGGAGGCACCUUAUGGGGCCCUAUGGUGCCCUAUGGGGCCCUAUGGCACCCUAUGG